CAAGUGACUCCAAAGCACAAACAAGAUGAUAAAGGAAAUCCAUAUGUUGCUCUUUCUCUUAUGGUAUCCCAGGGAUGUUUGGAGCCAGGUCACACGGUGCAUGCAGAGUUUGAGUUGUCAAUAUUCAACCAUUCAAAAGGAAUGUAUUAUGGAUACAAAGCUAGCUACAACUACGCUUUCCAGAAUGGCUACUCGAACAAGGAAUGCUUGAUUUCUCUUCAGGACCUACUGAAAUCAUCUGCUUUUCUAGUUGAUGAUAGUUGUGUCUUUGGUGUGGAGAUAUUAAAAAUUGAUGUCUCUUCUCCUGAAAAGAAGGCCGUCGUGGUUCAAAAGAAAGCUACCACAGUUCAGAACCUCUUUAUCCAGAAGAAGGGAUUCAUCAAAGGGACAUACACUUGGACCAUAAACAAUUUCCAAGAAUUGGAUUCUCAGAACUUUGUCCGUUCUCCUACAUUUGAAGUUGGCGGGCAUAAAUGGUACAUUGGCAUGUAUCCGCGUGGUGAGAGGCGCAGAACUGAUUGCCUCGCCUUGGGAUUGUACCGGGAGUCUGCGGAUGAGCUGUCCAGGAAGGUGGUUCAAAUUACUCUGUCCAUCCUGGACCAAAAGAAUGGGAAAUACCUCACUAGAACUACAAAUCUCUUGGUGUGUACACAUCCAGAAGGGUGGGGAUGGAUAGCCUUCUUGCCACUCAAGGAACUCCAGGAUAUGUCCAGAGGGUAUCUUAUAGAAUCGAAGUGCGUCCUCAAGGCAGAUUUCACUAUCUUCGGGUCAUCGAAUGAUGGCUAG
rnacentral:rRNA from 1 species